rnacentral:tRNA from 1 species
CGGAGCGUAGUAUAGUGGUAGUAUACGCCCUUCGGGAGGGCGCGGCCCGAGUUCGACUCUCGGCGCUCCGA